rnacentral:rRNA from 1 species
UACAGAGGGGGCGAGCGUUGUUCGGAAUUACUGGGCGUAAAGGGCGCGUAGGCGGCCAACUAAGUCGGACGUGAAAUCCCCAGGCUCAACUUGGGAACUGCGUCCGAUACUGGAUGGCUUGAAUCCGGGAGAGGGAUGCGGAAUUCCAGGUGUAGCGGUGAAAUGCGUAGAUAUCGGGAGGAACACCAGAGGCGAAGGCGGCUUUCUGGCCGUGUAACUGACGCUGAGGCGCGAAGGCUGGGGUAGCGAACAGG